rnacentral:rRNA from 1 species
CCUACGGGAGGCAGCAGUGAGGAAUAUUGGUCAAUGGUCGGGAGACUGAACCAGCCAAGCCGCGUGAGGGAUGAAGGUACAGAGUAUCGUACACCUCUUUUGUCAGGGAACACAGGCGGGGACGUGUCCCCGGAUGAGUGUACCUGAAGAAAAAGCAUCGGCUAACUCCGUGCCAGCAGCCGCGGUACUACGGAGGAUGCGAGCAUUCUCCGGUUUUGUUGGGUGUAAAGGGUGCGCAGGCGGUUUGUUAAGUCAGCGGUCAAAGCCCGGGGCCCCACCCCGGCCCGCCGUUGAAACUGGCAGUCUCGAGUUGGAGAGAAGUAUGCGGAAUGCGCGGUGUAGCGGUGAAAUGCAUAGAUAUCGCGCAGAACUCCGAUUGCGAAGGCAGCAUGCCGGCUCCACACUGACGCUGAGGCACGAAAGCGUGGGUAUCGAACAGGAUUAGAUACCCCAGUAGUC